rnacentral:misc_RNA from 1 species
UAAUUUUUUUUUUUAAAUUUUUUUAAAAAAGCAGCAGUACUGAUCACUUAAGAUUUUCUAUAAAAAGUGGAAUUUAAAAAAAAAAAAAGCAGUAGUGAGCCACUGACUAUCAAGCUGUCAUGAACACUAAUUCAAACUCAAUACUUGACACUCAAUUGCGAGAAUUUAUUUGAUAUAACCGCUGUAUGUAUGAAUAUACUUCAACCAUUGAUUAUAAUGAGACUCACCAUAAUCAAUAAUCAUAAUAAAAUUGUUAUAUAUACAAUAGUUGUAUUUUAAAAUUUCUCCUCAUUUGCACCAAGCAAAUAUGCACCCAGAAAUGUUACUUUUCAACUAAAUCUGAAUGCUAAAAUAUUCAAAACCAGCUAUAUCAGUCCUACUCUCCUUUAUGAUAAUAUAUCGAUCAUAUUUGCAACAACAGAAUAUUAAUUUUAUGGAAAUGUUCCUUCGCAAAUGUGUAAGGUCAUAAGGUCAUCAAGAUAUUGAACUUCCUAGGAACAUCCAUCUUGUGAGUUUGAUAGAGACGAGUGAAAGUAGUGUCACAGAGGGCACAAAGAUGACAUUUGGAAUGUCCUUGAUUCUCUUCAACUGGGGUACAGUGUUUCCUGCUCUUUAGCCGCCAUGGCUGCUGUUACCAUCCCAGUGACCAGGAUAGAGUCAACAAGUUUGCUAAGAUUUAUGCUCUUCUUCAUAAGCCCAACAGACAAUUCCUCUUUUUGGUGGGAUGGAGCUCUUCUCCAAUCAUUAAAACAUGCCUGUAUGGAAAUCGUAUUAUCAUUUAACUAGUAUAGGAGGUAAUGAGAAUGCAAAAGCAAUGUAUUGUCUAACCUCAAGUUCCUUCCUGGAGGGUAAGUCAUAAUAUUCAAUAGGCAAUUCUGAUAUGAAUGUGCUGUUCCAACGUUAUUUCAUAGGACAAUAUUCAGAUAAGCAAAUAUUAAUGCAAGAAAUUAUCAAAAUGUUGCUAACUCAUGAAACGGUAAUAAUCUGAAAGCAAAUUUUUUUCCCCCUGCAAUUUUCAGAAAUUGAAAUCUCUUACUCGAAGAUAUCAAGAAUACCGCUAUGGAAAUCCUCAAAGCUACUGAUAUUUUUCUCUAAAAAUUGCUUGUACAGUGUUCCCAUUACAAAACUUGUGGCAUGCAUUGAGGGCAACCCUUCUCCCAUGAGACUCAUAAACAUCCCCAUUUUGCCGGCUCGAUCACUAAAUGUUAAGAGACUCGCGUAAUAUAAGAUAAGGAGAAAAUGCGAAGAAGAGGAAAUGGCUUGUGGUCUAAGUAAGAAAGGAAUCCAUGAUGUCACAUGAUCCAACAGUUUUCAAUAUCAAAUCUGAUACUUCGCUUGGGAGAAGCUGUCAGCUUCAACGAGGGGCCUAAAAAGAGGUUCUUUAGAUCUUUUCUGGCGUGCACUAGUUUCUUUCAUUAUUUCCCUUUUUUCCUGUUCUCCACCAUUUCAUAAGCAGGGCUCUUCUGCUCUGCUAGACUCCAAAAAAGUUCAAAAAUUUCCUUGGUCAGCUGGUCAGUCAUCCAUUAAAAAAGAAUCAUGCCGGUGGUGCUCUCUGCCCACAGAUGAGACCUAACAACUCUUUGGGAGAUGAUAUUUGCCCACACGAAAGUCACCAAUGCCAUAGCAAAUAGAAAUGUUAGGAAAAACCAUAGCUUGGCUGUUAAAAAUAAUAACAAAUUAAAUCUGCAAGAUCUAGUGCAUGAAUGUCUUAGAGAGUAACAUUCCAAAAUAUAUUUCAUUAAAAAAAAUUAUCAUUGAACCAUAAUACUAGCACAUCCAGACAAAUGACUAAUGAAUAUGCAGCAUGUAGAAAACUUUUGUUGCAGCAGUUGAAGAAGAUGUACAUCAGAAUAAGCAGCAUGUACAAUUAUAAUCUUGCAGCAGGUUAAAAACAUUUCUUUCAACAAGUUUACUCGAAUCAUCAUUUAUCCCGUUAAGCUGAGGAUCUACGAUUCCAGCCACCUCUGCCGGACCUUCUCCUCCCCCGCUUUCCCUUAUUAUUGGAAACAUUAGACCUAGAUUUUGGAAGUGUUUUUCCACCAAAAUUCACACGAGGCACAAAUGCCUCUGGGGACAUGUCAACUUCAGAAGCCCGGAGUGUCUGCUUUUCUAUCAGUAAAUGAUGCUUCUCUAUGAGCUGGCUUCCACAAUUUUUCAAGUCUUGCAUUUCUUCUUUUG